CCUACGGGUGGCUGCAGUGGGGAAUUUUGGACAAUGGGCGCAAGCCUGAUCCAGCAAUGCCGCGUGAGUGAAGAAGGCCUUCGGGUUGUAAAGCUCUUUUGUGGAACGUUCGGUACCUGAAGAAUAAGCACCGGCUAACUACGUGCCAGCAGCCGCGGUAAUACGUAGGGUGCAAGCGUUAAUCGGAAUUACUGGGCGUAAAGCGUGCGCAGGCGGUUUUGUAAGUCUGUCGUGAAAUCCCCGGGCUCAACCUGGGAAUGGCGAUGGAGACUGCAAGGCUAGAGUUUGGCAGAGGGGGGUAGAAUUCCACGUGUAGCAGUGAAAUGCGUAGAUAUGUGGAGGAACACCGAUGGCGAAGGCAGCCCCCUGGGUCAGCUGACGCUCAUGCACGAAAGCGUGGGGAGCAAACAGGAUUAGAUACCCCAGUAGUC
rnacentral:rRNA from 1 species